rnacentral:rRNA from 1 species
AACGAACGCUGGCGGCAUGCCUAACACAUGCAAGUCGAACGAGACCUUCGGGUCUAGUGGCGCACGGGUGCGUAACGCGUGGGAACCUGCCCUUAGGUUCGGAAUAACUCCCCGAAAGGGGUGCUAAUACCGGAUAAUGUCUUCGGACCAAAGAUUUAUCGCCUUUGGAUGGGCCCGCGUUGGAUUAGCUAGUUGGUAGGGUAAAAGCCUACCAAGGCGACGAUCCAUAGCUGGUCUGAGAGGAUGAUCAGCCACACUGGGACUGAGACACGGCCCAGACUCCUACGGGAGGCCGCAGUGGGGAAUAUUGGACAAUGGGCGAAAGCCUGAUCCCGCACUGCCGCGUGAGUGAUGAAGGCCUUAGGGUUGUAAAGCUCUUUUACCCGGGAUGAUAAUGACAGUACCGGGAGAAUAAGCUCCGGCUAACUCCGU